GACAAACGCUGGCGGCAUGCCUAACACAUGCAAGUCGAACGGACAGAACAGGGCAGCUUUUGGGCGUGGGAGUGGAGAGUGAGAGGCGGCUGGGUGAGUAAGGAGUGGACAACGUAAGGGGUAAGGGGAACGACCUCGAGAAAUGGAAGCUAAUACGACAUAAUAACCUUGCUUCGCAUGUAGAUAGGAGAGAAGGCGGGCUUAGAGCUGUCGAUGCAAGAUGGGUAUGCGUGUGAUUAGCGAGUAGGUGGGGUCACGGCAUACGAAGGAGACGAGCGGAAACGCGCCCGAAAGGGUCAACGCCCACAUGGGCACUGAGGCUCGGCCCAAACUCCUACAGGGAGCAGCAGUGGGGAAUCUUCCGCAAUGGGCGAGAGCCUGACGGAGCAAUGCCGCGUGAGUGAAGAAGGCCUUCUGGUUGUAAAACUCUGUACUUAUCGAGGAGGGAAUGUUGUAUUAACUGACAAGACUAUGACGGUACCUGAAGAAGAAGCCCCGGCUAACUCUGUG
rnacentral:rRNA from 1 species